rnacentral:rRNA from 1 species
UGGGGAAUUUUGGACAAUGGGCGAAAGCCUGAUCCAGCAAUGCCGCGUGUGUGAAGAAGGCCUUCGGGUUGUAAAGCACUUUUGUCCGGAAAGAAAUCCUUGGCUCUAAUACAGUCGGGGGAUGACGGUACCGGAAGAAUAAGCACCGGCUAACUACGUGCCAGCAGCCGCGGUAAUACGUAGGGUGCAAGCGUUAAUCGGAAUUACUGGGCGUAAAGCGUGCGCAGGCGGUUUGCUAAGACCGAUGUGAAAUCCCCGGGCUCAACCUGGGAACUGCAUUGGUGACUGGCAGGCUAGAGUAUGGCAGAGGGGGGUAGAAUUCCACGUGUAGCAGUGAAAUGCGUAGAGAUGUGGAGGAAUACCGAUGGCGAAGGCAGCCCCCUGGGCCAAUACUGACGCUCAUGCACGAAAGCGUGGGGAGCAAACAGGAUUCAGAUACCCUGGUAGUCCACGCCCUAAACGAUGUCAACUAGUUGUUGGGGACUUCAUUUCCUUAGUAACGUAGCUAACGCGUGAAGUUGACCGCCU